rnacentral:rRNA from 1 species
UUCCGGUUGAUCCUGCCGGAGGACAUUGCUAUUGGGAUUCGAUUUAGCCAUGCUAGUUGUACGAACUUAGAUUCGUAGCAGAUAGCUCAGUAACACGUGGCCAAGCUACCCUUCAGACUAGAAUAACCUCGGGAAACUGAGGCUAAGACUAGAUACGGUAUACCCGCUGGAAUGCGGUAUACUCCAAACGCUCCGGCGCUGAAGGAUGCGGCUGCGGCCGAUUAGGUAGACGGUGGGGUAACGGCCCACCGUGCCAAUAAUUGGUACGGGUGAUGAGAGUCAGAACCCGGAGACGGAAUCUGAGACAAGAUUCCGGGCCCUACGGGGCGCAGCAGGCGCGAAACCUUUACACUGCACGCAAGUGCGAUAGGGGAAUCCCAAGUGCGAGGGCAUACUAGCCCUCGCUUUUGUUGACUGUAAGGAGGUCAACGAAUAAGAGCUGGGCAAGACCGGUGCCAGCCGCCGCGGUAAUACCGGCAGCUCGAGUGAUGUCCAAUUUUAUUGGGCCUAAAGCGUCCGUAGCUGGCCAGCCAAGUUCGUCGGGAAAUCCACCUGCCCAACAGGUGGGCGUCCGGCGAAAACUGUCUGGCUUGGAACCGGAAGGCUCAGAGGGUACGUCUGGGGUAGGAGUGAAAUCCUGUAAUCCCAGACGGACCACCGAUGGCGAAAGCACUCUGAGAAGACGGAUUCGACAGUGAGGGACGAAAGCUAGGGUCUCGAACCGGAUUAGAUACCCGGGUAGUCCUAGCUGUAAACGAUGCUCGUUAGAUGUGGCACCCACUACGAGUGGGUGCUGUGUCGUAGGGAAGCCGCUAAACGAGCCGCCUGGGAAGUACGUCCGCAAGGAUGAAACUUAAAGGAAUUGGCGGGGGAGCACUACAACCGGAGGAGCCUGCGGUUUAAUUGGAUUCAACGCCGG